CAGGGUUGAUCCUCUUUCCUUAACUCAUGCCACUGUGCCUUUUUAUUUACUUCACCAUUGUGUGAGUUGAGUACAGAGUGUCUUUCCA
rnacentral:pre_miRNA from 1 species